rnacentral:lncRNA from 1 species
CCCUCCUAUCGGAACAAUUUCCAGAUUCUCGCAGAUUGAUAUAUCUAAAUUUUGAAGAGAGGAAAAUCCUUCCAAAUCUGGAAUGGAACUUAAAUUAGGACAAUCGCUUAACUUUAAUUCUUUAAGAAAAGUGAAGAUAAACAACCCGACUCCUAUCUUGCUUAAUUUUCGACACGAGGAAAUGUGAAGCUUUUGAAGAGAUGAACACUGCCCUCCUAUCGGAACAAUUUCCAGAUUCUCGCAGAUUGAUAUAUCUAAAAUUCGAAGUGAGGAAAAUCUUUCCAAAUCUGGAGUGGAGCUUAAAUUAGGACAAUCACUUAACUUCAAUUCUUCAAGAUAAAUGGAGGUAGACAACCCGUCUCCUAUCUUGCUUAAUUUUCGACACGAGGAAAUGCGAAGCUUUUUAAGAGAUGAACACUGCCCUCCUAUCGGAACAAUUUCCAGAUUCUCGCAGAUUGAUAUAUCUAAAAUUCGAAGAGAGGAAAAUCCUUCCAAAUCUGGAAUGGAGCUUAAAUUAGGACAAUCACUUAACUUCAAUUCUUCAAGAUAAAUGGAGGUAGACAACCCGUCUCCUAUCUUGCUUAAUUUUGGACACGAGGAAAUGUGAAGCUUUUGAAGAGAUGAACAUCUUCCUCUUAUUGGAACAAUUUCAAGUUCUCUGCAGCUUGAUAUAUCAAGAUUUCGAAGAAAUGAAAAUCCAUCC